rnacentral:rRNA from 1 species
UACGAAGGGUGCGAGCGUUGUCCGGAAUCACUGGGCGUAAAGGGCGCGUAGGCGGCUGGGGAAGUCCGUGGUGAAAGCUCGUGGCUCAACUGCGAGUCGGCCAUGGAUACUCCUCGGCUUGAGCACUGUAGAGGCAGGUGGAAUUCCGGGUGUAGCGGUGGAAUGCGUAGAGAUCCGGAAGAACACCGGUGGCGAAGGCGGCCUGCUGGGCAGUAGCUGACGCUGAGGCGCGACAGCGUGGGGAGCAAACAGG